GUUAGUUCCAUUCAAAUCAUGCAAGUUAGAGUCCAAAACAAGGGCAAAAAUGUUUGGAAAAGUAGAUACGACGGAGACAUAUCACAGGCUGUUGUUCAUGUUUAGUUGCUAUCAUAGGAGCUCAUGUGAUGCUCUACUUUACAUGUGGAUGCCCUGUUCCUAUAGCUAUGCUCCUGGAUUUGCUAGAUUGAUCAGUGGCGUUCGUGCUAGGGCGAUUAUGAUUAAUCGUGGCUGAAAUAAGUGGGCCUUUGAGCAAUCGUGGCACCUGUGUGUAUCAGGUUGGAUCCUCCCUCUUGUCUCUAGAAUUCUUUUUGAUCCUGUGAUACUUGUUGUUGUCCUUGGAUGGUCAUUCUUGUUGAGUGAUAACCAGGGCAGCUCCAUUGUAUGAACAGAUUGAUCUGGUGAUAAGAGAUGACGGGGGUAGGUUAUAUGAUCGAGGAAAGGUGAAUCUGAGACCGCUAUGCAAUGAACCCUGAAACCAGAAACAUGAGACGGAUCGAAACCUGAGCGUUCUCAGCGAUUAGAGCAUUCUGGCCGUCCGAUCAAAAGUCCCUCGUGAUACCGACCAUCCGAUCUCGUGCCUGAUCGCCGUGAGCCAUCCGAUUUUGACCCCGAUCGACCUGGGUCGUCGGAUAAAAUUCUAAUGGCAACAAAUUGUAAAUACCGUGCCCCCACCAGGGCAUUUCGGUCAUUUUGCUUAGGGGGGUAUAAAGGGGCCCGCUGCCAUGGGAGACCUAGCCGCCGCCUCCUCUCUCACUCGCUCCUGCAGCUGCCUCCCUCCCUCCCACGCAGGUGGCUCCCACCAACCACGACGGCGGCGGCAACGGCCACGGAGGAGGGCGGCAUAUCAGCGGCGCCGGUGAUGGCGUCCGUGGCGGCUAUGCAAUGAACCCUGAGCCAUUUUUAUUUGUAUUUAAAGGUGUUGCUUAUUUAUGCUCAAGUGGUGUUCGUGCUAGAGCGAUGAUGAUUACCUUGGCUGGAAUUAGUGUGCCUUUGAGCAAUCGAGGCACUUGUCGGUAUCAAGUUGGAUCCUCCCUCUUGUCUCUAGAAUCCUUUUUGGUCAUGUGAUACUUGUUGUUGUCCUUGGAUGGUCAUUCUUGUUGAGUUAUAACCAGGGCAGCUCUACUGUAUAAACAGACUGAUCUGGUGAUAAGAGAUGACGGGGGUAGGUUAUAUGAUCGAGGAAAGGAGAAUCUGAGCCCACUAUGCAAUAAAACUGCAGCUACCUCCCCUAAUGUGUGUAGUAUUGAAGGCAAAAGAGAACUUUUCAUGUCUUGCUACUUUAAAAUUCCAAAAAGGUUCAUUCUUCCUUUCCUGGUUACUUAACCAUGAUUUUUUUUGCUUUGAUUCUGAUUGAGAUACUAAAGAUUGUUUAUAUAUGAAAAUUAUAGACACUUGUAGUUUUGUAUGCCUCAACUGUAGCUUAGGAUCCAGUGUUGUAAUGCUUUGCCUAAUUAAAAAUAACUCUAAUCAAUAAUAGUGAUUCUUUCCUUCUGAUUUGAACUGAGAGAGGGCCACUGAUUCUUGAUCUUAAGGUGACCCCAUUUUUCUAUGCCUCAUGCACAUGCUGCUCUAUGUUUCCUUUUAAAGAUUCUUGCUUGCAUUUUGGGUUGGUUUUCUGCUCUCUAUGUUCCCUUUUAGCGUUUCUUUCCGCUGUUGCUGCAUUCCCUUUUUUGCAUACUACAUGCUCUUUUUGUAUCUCAUUCUGCAUGUGACAUAACUAACUAAUACAUCUUCGAUCAGUAUUCACAUUGAGAUGAAAGGUUAUAUCUGAUAUCAUCUAGCUCAAGUAGGAACUUUCUGCUCCAAUGUUUGCUAUGAAAGGUUAUAACUAAUACAUCUUCGAUCAGUAUUCACAUUUCCUUGCCUGGUAUAUUUCAGUGUGAAAUGAAUCGUUUAUGUGUAUGAAAGUUUUUAUAAUAUCAUAAAAAUGUUUAGUUUUAGUGUCCAGUUCACUGCCAAUUCUCUUACUGCUUUUGUCAUGACCAUGCAAAUCAAUUAUCCUAUGGAUUGACUAUGCCGUGCUUACCUUGCAUUGGUUUAUUUUGCUAUUUGUGGCCUAUAGUAAACUCAUCUAUCAUGGAUGGUUACUUAGAUUUUUUUAGAUGUAAAUAGUUUCUCAAACCUUCCUACUAACUUGACCAUUAUCUGCUUAAUUACAACAUUUGGACCGGCGCCCUUGCACCAAGGCGCCCAGCCGGCUCGCCGCAAGUACAGCUACGCCGCCGCCUCCCCGGGGGGCUGCAAGGUGAAGUGGACGGCCGAGGAGAAGCCGCACGGUGGGGCCGUGCUCUCAAGUGGGAGGCGGAGCUCGCCUCCCCCAACGACGACCGCUUCGAUCGCAAGUGGAAGUGGGAGCCCAAGUCCAAGCCCGGUGCUGCCGGCAAGGCCAAGACCAAGCUCGAGGAAGCCAGCGAGGAUGACAAGAAUAAGCCGGAGAGGAAGUGCACGUAGAUCGAGGAGGUCCUCGCCGGCUACGACGCCAUCUUCAAGGAUGAUGACUAUCUAAUGGUGAUUCCAUAUUCCCACAUUUUUUGCCCUCAUGCUGCAAGCUCUAAAGCUGCCCCUGCAAUUUACUAUCACAAGACAUGUCCGGGCAGCAAGUCUCCUGUGGCGGUUACAUUUAAUUCAUCAUUACAAUUGUUUGCUGGUUUGCUUGUUCCAACCUCGAUAUCUGCCUUUAUAUUCUUGUUGUUGUCUUUGGAGUGGAAGGUACCACCUGGUGGUAUGUUGCUAUUUUCACUUUGUUCUGAACAAGGCAUGUAUAGACUUCAGAUUUUAAUUCCUAUCUCUCUGUCGUAAAAAGUAAUAUAUGGUCUUGUGUUU